rnacentral:rRNA from 1 species
AUCAUGGCUCAGAGCAAACGCUGGCGGCAGGCCUAACACAUGCAAGUCGAACGGACCCUUCGGGGUUAGUGGCGGACGGGUGAGUAACACGUGGGAACGUGCCUUUAGGUUCGGAAUAGCUCCUGGAAACGGGUGGUAAUGCCGAAUGUGCCCUUCGGGGAAAGAUUUAUCGCCUUUAGAGCGGCCCGCGUCUGAUUAGCUAGUUGGUGAGGUAACGGCUCACCAAGGCGACGAUCAGUAGCUGGUCUGAGAGGA